UACGGAGGGUGCAAGCGUUAUCCGGAUUUACUGGGUUUAAAGGGUGCGCAGGCGGAUAUGUAAGUCAGUGGUGAAAUCUUCCCGCUUAACGGGAAAACUGCCGUUGAUACUAUAUAUCUUGAAUGCUGUGGAGGUAAGCAGAAUAUGUCAUGUAGCGGUGAAAUGCUUAGAGAUGACAUAGAAUACCGAUUGCGAAGGCAUCUUACUACACAGAUAUUGACGCUCAUGCACGAAAGCGUGGGGAUCAAACAGG
rnacentral:rRNA from 1 species